rnacentral:rRNA from 1 species
UCGAGAAUCUUUCGCAAUGGGCGAAAGCCUGACCCAGCAACGCCGCGUGAAGGAUGAAGUAUUUCGGUAUGUAAACUUCGUAAGAAUAGGAAGAAUAAAUGACGGUACUAUUUGUAAGGUCCGGCUAACUACGUGCCAGCAGCCGCGGUAAUACGUAGGGACCAAGCGUUGUUCGGAUUUACUGGGCGUAAAGCGUGCGCAGGCGGCUUUGCAAGACAGAUGUGAAAUCCCCGGGCUCAACCUGGGAAUUGCGUUUGAAACUACAUGACUAGAGUGUAACAGAGGGAAGUGGAAUUCCAUGUGUAGCAGUGAAAUGCGUAGAGAUAUGGAGGAACAUCGAUGGCAAGGCAGCUUCCUGGGUUAACACUGACGCUCAUGCACGAAAGCGUGGGGAGCAAACAGGAUUAGAUACCCAAGUAGUCCCUGAGCGGGCUGGCAAGGCGCAU